CCUACGGGAGGCAGCAGUGGGGAAUCUUGCGCAAUGGGCGAAAGCCUGACGCAGCCAUGCCGCGUGAAUGAUGAAGGUCUUAGGAUUGUAAAAUUCUUUCACCGGGGACGAUAAUGACGGUACCCGGAGAAGAAGCCCCGGCUAACUUCGUGCCAGCAGCCGCGGUAAUACGAAGGGGGCUAGCGUUGCUCGGAAUUACUGGGCGUAAAGGGAGCGUAGGCGGAUAGUUUAGUCAGAGGUGAAAGCCCAGGGCUCAACCUUGGAAUUGCCUUUGAUACUGGCUAUCUUGAGUACGGAAGAGGUAUGUGGAACUCCGAGUGUAGAGGUGAAAUUCGUAGAUAUUCGGAAGAACACCAGUGGCGAAGGCGACAUACUGGUCCGUUACUGACGCUGAGGCUCGAAAGCGUGGGGAGCAAACAGGAUUAGAUACCCUGGUAGUCCACGCUGUAAACGAUGAGUGCUAGUUGUCGCGAUGCAUGCAUGUCGGUGACGCAGACUACG
rnacentral:rRNA from 1 species